UUGUCAAGCUAUAUGGAAACAUUGGUGUGAUCUCAACACAAUGUACCCAUCCAAGUUCAAGAUUGGAAUCAUGUUAGUGAAGAUGUGAAGGAAAAGAUUUGGGCCUUAGUAUUGGAAAAAUAUGAACUAGAAGAAACAUGUAAGAGCUACAUUCUUCAAUGUUGUGGAAAUUUGUUUAGAAGCUAUAGAAAUAAAAUGAAGGCCAAGUAUUAUAACCCUUAUAAUACAGAUGAGGAGAGAUUGUGCCAUCGACCUCCACACUUAUCGGAUGAUGAUUGGAGGUGGCUCAUCCACUUUUGGGGUACACCUGAGGCCAAGGAUAUCUCAGAAAAAAACAAGGCAAAUAGGGCAAAACAAGUGAUAAAGCAUACAUCGGGAUCAAAAAGUUAUGCUCAAAUUCGAUAUGAAUAGGCACAAAAGAAGGAGGAUCGAAGUGAGCCCAAUAGAAUUGAGAUGUUUGCCUUCACACACACAAGAAAAGAUGGGACGCCUGUUGAUGAUCAUUCUAAGGAG